rnacentral:tRNA from 1 species
GGAGGAUUAGCUCAGCUGGGAGAGCAUCUGCCUUACAAGCAGAGGGUCGGCGGUUCGAUCCCGUCACCUCCCA